AUGCAGUGAAUUCUCGCCACGUGUAAGAUCAGCGGUGGUUCAAAUGCAACUAAUACCUUGACCAUGUUUGUUUCUACCGACCGGAAGAGAUUUGCCAUGGAACAAAUAUUACCAUCAAUGUAGUACAAAAAUGUCCAGAAAAUGCCAAGACAGUACAAAUGAGAAUUAUCGAAAGGAAAUGCUACCAGUAUCCUAAAUGUGACGGUGAAGUUCUUGUUUAUCAUUGUACUCGAUUUCUCAACAACCUCAUAGAAGUAUGUUCUCCGAAUGGAUUAAUAACAGGUCACUGUUGUACACAAUUCGAUGAAGGAGUAGGACGAGUAAUAGAAGACUAUAGCACAUCUUGCUCCGAAUGUCCUUUUAAGUAUCAUUCCAACGAUUCAUCAAAAUGUGAUUAAACAUAAUUAUACUUUUUUUAUCCACAAAAUUUCAAUUUGCCCAAGGAUCAUACUAUUACUGAAUGUUUCUUUACAGAGACAUAUAACAUUAAUCACGUAUUGAAUUUCAUCAAAUAUUUAUAAUUUCAAAAUAUAUACCUCUCUUUAUAAGCAACAACAGUUGCGCCGAAAUGCUUUAAUCUAUGGCUUGUGAAUACCGGUAGGGUUCAGGAAUUUGUUGCUAACACGUUUCAUUUUCUUUCUGGAAAUACAAAACACGCUUAAUAAGUUACUACGUUGGUAAAUAUAAUACUUAUUAACCAACUAAUUACAAUUGCGUUUAACUAUUAUUGCUAAUGUAUUAUCUGUCAGAGUUCACUUUCAGUUUCAUCAUGCAUUGAAUCAAUUCAACGGACAUCGACAAAAUCACCAAUUAAAGAAUAUGCGAAUGCAAAAGACAUUAUGGACGAAACUAAACAAGUCGAAAACAGACAAACAACCCAGUCUAUCCAAUAUGAUAUAACAACGGAAGAUACAGAAUUGAGGCAAAGUAUUUCACAAGCUUCAGUUGCCUAAAAAUAAAGCGGCAUAACUGUUAAUACUAAUACUUAAAAGAAAUCAAAAACGAUAAGUUAUCUAUACAAUUUAAACAAACGAGUUGAUUUUUCCUGAGUAUACCUGUCAAAUUAUUUCACAUGGCUUAAAAUUACGAAAGUAUAAAAUAGAUACAUACUUCAAAUGCAAUUAUACCCCUUGCUAUUUUUGACUUGAAGAGAAUGCCAAUGAUUAUUAUAUGUUAAAUCAAUUCACAACUUACCAUAAACUAUGAAUAUGUUAUUCUCAACGUUAUAUCAGUUUUCUUUACUUGUUUACAAAGCACAGGUCUUAAUAUUUUGAAUCAAAUAGUCCCUACCCUUGGGCCAAUUUGGUUCUUAUUUUCCGGCAAGGUGCCUUUCGUAAACGGAUUUACAAUGACAAAGAACUACGUUUUUAGGUCGAGUGAUAAUUUUUUGAGUGACCUAUAUGUUAAGUCGUUGUCCUUACAAUACAUUAUCAUGCUUUAGCCGAAUAUGUCUAAUAAUAUCCCACAUAGUGCCUUUGAGUAGAGAGUAUGCUGUAUUUUAAAAUACUUUUUCUUGCUCAAGCUUAAGUUUCUAGCAGAUUAUUGCAGAUGUGUAAAAUUACUCCACACAAAUAUUAUCCUUUGGUAAAGAAUACCAGAUUAAGGUAAUAUCAGACCUUUUUGAGAAAUACUCAAAUGGAUCACUCUGUCAGGACCUUGACCAAAAUGUCUAGGUCAGAGAUGAAAAUUAUAGCAAAUCUUAUUAAAACCUUUCAUUACUUUAACUGUUCUACAUUUGAGCCAGGUCUGCUCAGUAUUGACUGAGUAACAAACAAAACGUUAAAGGAUGUGCAGUGAGCAUAAAUAAAGUUUCUCUUUAAUAGUUUAAGCUUAAAUGAAACGUUUCUACAUAGUAUUUGUGGUCGUUUCAUUUGCUGUUUGUCUUAUACAACAGUAAUAGAGUUGUAGAGUGUUUGUUGUUAAAGAGAUGUGCAUUGAUUUUGAAUUGAAUCUUUUAGUUGGCUAUGGAGAAUAUGGUCUUAAUUACUAUCUAGUUUAUUUUCAAUGCUUUUUUAAUUGAAUAUAUAGAAAUAAGAAAACAAUAGAUAACUUACUUUGUCAUUUUAAACAUAUUCGUUUUCAGAUUGACCAAUGGAAGCAUCCUGAUAAAUUCACCAGAUGUUUAUGUCAUAACUGUAGUUAUAAUGACGAUGUUAGUGUACAUUGCAAUUUGUAUUGUAAUUGCUAUAAAACUCGAAAAAUAAAUCUGUAUUUCGG
rnacentral:misc_RNA from 1 species